UAAUACGGGGGGAGCAAGCGUUGUUCGGAAUUACUGGGCGUAAAGGGUGCGUAGGCGGGCAAGCAAGUCAGACGUGAAAACUCCGAGCUCAACUCGGAGCCUGCGUUUGAAACUACUUGCCUUGAGUACGGGAGAGGGAAGUGGAAUUCCUGGUGUAGCGGUGAAAUGCGUAGAUAUCAGGAGGAACACCGGUGGCGAAGGCGGCUUCCUAGCCCGAUACUGACGCUGAGGCACGAAAGCUAGGGGAGCAAACAGGAUUAGAUACCCUGGUAGUCCUAGCCGUAAACGUUGGGCACUAGGUGUUGGAUCGUAAGAUUCAGUGCCGUCGCUUACGCAUUAAGUGCCCCGCCUGGGGAGUACGACCGCAAGGUUG
rnacentral:rRNA from 1 species